GACGUAGGGCGCGAGCGUUGUCCGGAUUUAUUGGGCGUAAAGAGCUCGUAGGCGGUGUGUCACGUCGGCCGUGAAACCUGACAGCUUAACUGUGGGCGUGCGGUCGAUACGGGCAUCACUGGAGUUCGGCAGGGGAGACUGGAAUUCCUGGUGUAGCGGUGAAAUGCGCAGAUAUCAGGAGGAACACCGGUGGCGAAGGCGGGUCUCUGGGCCGAUACUGACGCUGAGGAGCGAAAGCGUGGGGAGCAAACAGG
rnacentral:rRNA from 1 species